rnacentral:lncRNA from 1 species
GCUACACAAACAUCCACCAGUCCAUAAGAUCACUCUCCUCUCAUCACUUGAUGGCUACUCAGUUUUCUCGACCGCAACUUCUCCGCCAUCUUUCGCUUCGAUAACCACCGGUUUCUCUUCUUCCUUAACCUCCUCUCUUGGUUUUUCUGCUUCAGCUUCUGGCACUGAAGCAUCAACAGCCUCUGCUGAUACUUCUUCUUUCUUCUCCUCCACCACCGCCUCCGCAGCUUCCUUUGGAGUCUCCUCAACCGUGGACUCCGGCACCGCCUUUGCAGUCUCCUCCACAACCGACUCUGGCUCAGUCUCAGGUGCCACUUUUGCAGCCUUCUCUGCAACCGUGACUUCCUUUGGUGUUUCCUCUGCACUCUCCACUACAUUCAGCUCUCGUGUGACAACUUCGGCCUCUCCUGUGAGCUCUUUAGUUUCAGCUUCUUCGGACGGUGGCUCGGCCUCUGUGGUCACUGUUUCCUCAGGUAGUGCUCCAGUAACUUCCUCCUCCUUUGACUCUUCAGGAAGCGCCUCUUGUUUGGGCAGCUCGACUACCUCCUCUUGAGGCUUGAUUGGUUCUUCAGUUUUCUCCACUGGAAGUACUGUUUUCACUGACUCAACCUGCGUGACAUGGUAUUUGUUGCACUGAGUCAUUUUCUGUGAUGAAUAACUACUAUGCAUAUAAAGGCUUGCUCGCCUAAUAUGUUUGAGCGGCAGAAUCUAAUUGAUUGCUGAACAUGACCCGCUAGUGUAAAUACUUAUUUACCGUCUGCCACAUCACUUUUAAACAAGUUUCUCUAGACCGUCUACUAUCUUAAUUCUCAAGCAUUCACUCAUCUGUCAAACGUGAAAGUUUUGGUUUGCAACUUGAGAUCUGUGUGUCUAGAGUUGCUAGAGCUGAAAACUGUAAUGUUCAGUUGGAUCCAGCACUUUAUUAUCUUUGCAGAAAACAGAUUUUGCUGACGUUAUUGCUCAAACUCCACUCAAUCCCGACGGAAGCAAACGGGUUCAAAUCAUAAACUGAUGAGAAAAACAAGAACAGAUGAACAGGAUGGGAGUGCACCGAAACGGGGGAAGUUACCUCAGCAGAUGCCAUAGGAACUUGAGAGAAACUGGAUCUGUUUCACCCCAAGGGAAUAAAGGCAAGCAAAAUUUGGGAGUGAAAAGGGAAG